ACAAGUCCUUAUCUUGAGCCCCGCCCGAGAUUGCUGCCCUUUGGGGGGCAGAGACGUGUGCGGCUCCAGUCAGUCGGUCAGAGAAGGAAGCCGUGUCACGCGUGACAUGCGACGUCUCACAACAGUUUUUCAGGUCCUCGGGGCCGGUCCCUGGAGAAACAAGAGCACGAGAGAUUUGCUGCUCUCCAUUAUUGAUGAGACUUCCUCGGCGGCCUUCGUCUGCCGCUGUGGUCGUGGCCGUCGCCUACGGGUAGCCGCUGCGGUCGUGGAGGGGGACCAGAUGAUGCCACGCGUGGAAAAACAAAAAGGACCGGGCGCAUUAACAGCCUAUUGACAAGAUGCCAUCCAGCGAAGCGUGCCUUUGUCGGAGCGCAGCAGACUCCACUCGCUGACCGCUGCGACUGUGUCAGCUAUUGCCUCCGACAGUGAUGGAUGGACCGAAGAUGAAGAUGGAGGAUAAAGGGAGGGAAACCAGAGAGCGCUGUGGAUACUGAUCAACUUCAAAUCUGCUAAUAGAAGUCAUCAGAGAAGGGGUGGACCUGCACCGAUUAUCACGCACGCUGUUUUUGCAAGCUUGUUCAUCAAAUCCACGGCAAGACAUUAUUCUUCACAUGGGUGCUGUCUUGCAAGAAGAAAUCAGAUGAGAAUAAAUCUAGAUUAAUAGUGCAAAACUGUGCAAAACAAAAGCCUUCUUGAUGAUGUUUUGCGAGGGAUCCAUUUUUGCAAAUAUAUUAAGUGUCAGUCCUUCUUUCCUUCUCUCUCUCUUCUUUUUGCCGUGAUUGCGUUCCUCUUUUGUGUUAGUCGCUUCGGAUAAAAACAUCUGCUAAACAAAACGUAAUGUACAUUUGGGAAGCGGCAGAUGCCUCUCAGUUAUGCACCUUUACAAUUCAGCCUACGCCUGGGAGAUGAGUAAGGUGCUAUAAAAACAUGGACUGUUUUUUGGCUUAUUACAACAUUCAGUCCACAUACAGGUUCACUUCCUCGAGGCAAAGAGAAAUAUAAAAAGUUAGCAAGUGCACUGUGGGAGAGCAGGAGCAGAGAAAGAA